rnacentral:rRNA from 1 species
AACGUAGGGUGCGAGCGUUAAUCGGAAUUACUGGGCGUAAAGCGUGCGCAGGCGGUUGUGCAAGACAGAUGUGAAAUCCCCGGGCUUAACCUGGGAACUGCAUUUGUGACUGCACGGCUAGAGUGUGUCAGAGGGGGGUAGAAUUCCACGUGUAGCAGUGAAAUGCGUAGAUAUGUGGAGGAAUACCGAUGGCGAAGGCAGCCCCCUGGGAUAACACUGACGCUCAUGCACGAAAGCGUGGGGAGCAAACAGG